rnacentral:rRNA from 1 species
GACGAACGCUGGCGGCGUGCCUAACACAUGCAAGUCGAACGAGGUCCAUCCUUCGGGAGAAGACCUAGUGGCGAACGGGUGAGUAACACGUGAAGAACCUGCCCCGAAGACCGGGAUAACCCUCCGAAAGGAGAGCUAAUACCGGAUACCCCCACCGAACCGCAUGGUUUGGUGAGGAAAUGGAUUCCGCUUCGGGAGGGCUUCGCGGCCUAUCAGCUAGUUGGUGGGGUAACGGCCCACCAAGGCAUCGACGGGUAGCUGGUCUGAGAGGACGAUCAGCCACACUGGGACUGAGACACGGCCCAGACUCCUACGGGAGGCAGCAGUGGGGAAUCUUGCGCAAUGGGCGAAAGCCUGACGCAGCAACGCCGCGUGGGGGAUGAAGGGCUCUCGGGUUGUAAACCCCUUUCAGCAGGGACGAAUCAAGACGGUACCUGCAGAAGAAGCCCCGGCUAACUACGUGCCAGCAG